rnacentral:rRNA from 1 species
UACGUAGGGUGCAAGCGUUGUCCGGAAUUAUUGGGCGUAAAGAGCUCGUAGGCGGUUUGUCGCGUCUGCCGUGAAAGUCCGGGGCUCAACUCCGGAUCUGCGGUGGGUACGGGCAGACUAGAGUGAUGUAGGGGAGACUGGAAUUCCUGGUGUAGCGGUGAAAUGCGCAGAUAUCAGAAGGAACACCGAUGGCGAAGGCAGGUCUCUGGGCAUUAACUGACGCUGAGGAGCGAAAGCAUGGGGAGCGAACAGG